UACGAAGGGGGCUAGCGUUGUUCGGAAUUACUGGGCGUAAAGCGCACGUAGGCGGACAUUUAAGUCAGGGGUGAAAUCCCGGGGCUCAACCCCGGAACGGCCUUUGAUACUGGGUGUCUUGAGUUCGGAAGAGGUGAGUGGAAUUGCGAGUGUAGAGGUGAAAUUCGUAGAUAUUCGCAGGAACACCAGUGGCGAAGGCGGCUCACUGGUCCGAUACUGACGCUGAGGAGCGAAAGCGUGGGGAGCGAACAGG
rnacentral:rRNA from 1 species